rnacentral:rRNA from 1 species
GCUCAGAUUGCACGCUGGCCACACGUAUCACACGCGCAUGUCAGACUAUCGCACAGAGAGCUUGUUCUUGGGUGACGAGUGGCGGACGGGUGAGUAAUGUCUGGGGAUCUGCCCGAUAGAGGGGGAUAACCACUGGAAACGGUGGCUAAUACCGCAUAACGUCGCAAGACCAAAGAGGGGGACCUUCGGGCCUCUCACUAUCGGAUGAACCCAGAUGGGAUUAGCUAGUAGGCGGGGUAAUGGCCCACCUAGGCGACGAUCCCUAGCUGGUCUGAGAGGAUGACCAGCCACACUGGAACUGAGACACGGUCCAGACUCCUACGGGAGGCAGCAGUGGGGAAUAUUGCACAAUGGGCGCAAGCCUGAUGCAGCCAUGCCGCGUGUAUGAAGAAGGCCUUCGGGUUGUAAAGUACUUUCAGCGGGGAGGAAGGCGACGGGGUUAAUAACCGCGUCGAUUGACGUUACCCGCAGAAGAAGCACCGGCUAACUCCGUGCCAGCAGCCGCGGUAAUACGGAGGGUGCAACGUUAUCGGAUUACUGGGCGUAAGCGCACGCAGGCGGUCUGUUAAGUCAGAUGUGAAAUCCCCGGGCUUAACCUGGGAACUGCAUUUGAAACUGGCAGGCUUGAGUCUUGUAGAGGGGGGUAGAAUUCCAGGUGUAGCGGUGAAAUGCGUAGAGAUCUGGAGGAAUACCGGUGGCGAAGGCGGCCCCCUGGACAAAGACUGACGCUCAGGUGCGAAAGCGUGGGGAGCAAACAGGAUUAGAUACCCUGGUAGUCCACGCCGUAAACGAUGUCGACUUGGAGGUUGUUCCCUUGAGGAGUGGCUUCCGGAGCUAACGCGUUAAGUCGACCGCCUGGGGAGUACGGCCGCAAGGUUAAAACUCAAAUGAAUUGACGGGGGCCCGCACAAGCGGUGGAGCAUGUGGUUUAAUUCGAUGCAACGCGAAGAACCUUACCUACUCUUGACAUCCAGCGAACUUUCCAGAGAUGGAUUGGUGCCUUCGGGAACGCUGAGACAGGUGCUGCAUGGCUGUCGUCAGCUCGUGUUGUGAAAUGUUGGGUUAAGUCCCGCAACGAGCGCAACCCUUAUCCUUUGUUGCCAGCGAUUCGGUCGGGAACUCAAAGGAGACUGCCGGUGAUAAACCGGAGGAAGGGGGGGAUGACGUCAAGUCAUCAUGGCCCUUACGAGUAGGGCUACACACGUGCUACAAUGGCGCAUACAAAGAGAAGCGACCUCGCGAGAGCAAGCGGACCUCACAAAGUGCGUCGUAGUCCGGAUCGGAGUCUGCAACUCGACUCCGUGAAGUCGGAAUCGCUAGUAAUCGUGGAUCAGAAUGCCACGGUGAAUACGUUCCCGGGCCUUGUACACACCGCCCGUCACACCAUGGGGAGUGGGUUGCAAAAGAAGUAGGUAGCUUAACCUUCGGGAGGGCGCUUACCACUUUGUGAUUCAUGACUGGGGUGAA